rnacentral:tRNA from 1 species
GGUGGGUUGGCUCAGUGGUUAGAGCGUAGGUCUCGUAACCGAAAGGUCGUGGGAUCGAAUCCCGCUAGAGGUUG